rnacentral:tRNA from 1 species
GGGGCCGUAGCUUAGUUGGGAGAGCGCCUCCCUUGCACGGAGGAGGUCGUGGGUUCGAAUCCCACCGGCUCCA